AAAAUGCAAAGUAUUUUUUCCGUAGGGUGUUCUUCUAGAAAGGAGUUCCCUGAGUGCAGAAAUUUACUUCUGUUCAAUUAAACAAAGCCGAGUGCCCCUACCAAUGCACCAUAUUGAUUGGAUAAACUCCAUUUGUCACACUCCCACUACCCCAAUACACCUACACACACACAUAUUCUCACGCACCCUUUCACUUCCAAUAAGUAAACACAUACGAACGGCUAAUGCGAAGUGACCGACCACGAAGUGCAAAACUCAAGACCAAGCUAAUAUUCACGUACGACGGCAACUAUCCAUCAAAAGUUCUGCAUGAAACCAACCGAAGUGGAUAUUUCUUCUUUUAAUUGCAAAACAUGGUGGCUGCCACUGUCUGAUAGAAAUCGCAAUGAUCUUGCCGGAGGCGCCGGCCGGUCUGGCUGAGCGAGUAAGCCGCAACCGCAAAUCAUAGAGGCUGAAAUAAAAUAUUGUCUUUACUUAUUAAUGAUGCGGUAAAAUUCGGAAUUCGCUUGUUAUUAAUUUAUUACAAAAAAGAAAAGGAAAUCGCUGAAUACCGUCCUUUACCUUUUACAGAAACGGAUCAAAGGGUUUUUUGUUUUGAAAUUUUACUCCUAGUGCCGGUGUCAAAUAAAUUUAAAUAUAUACAUCUUUAUACAUAUAUGUAUAAAACUUGUAUCAAAGUUUAAUUUUCUAACUUAACAUUGGUAUUUGUUUAAUUAGCAUAAAGCCAAGUAUAAAUUAUAUUAAUAAAAUUGCACAACGUUGCCCUCUUUGAAUUUCAUAUUGUUACUAUUAAAUAUUAUAUGUGAUCACAUUGGAACAUUCUCCUCUUUCAUUAAGUUUUCGAAGACACAAAUAGCAAAGACACUGAAUACAUCGCGCGGCAUCUUUAUCGACUUAAAACAAAAACCUAAAUCCUUGUUUUUCAAUAUUUAAUAUUCAGUGGUUUUAAGUCCUAAUUGAUCGUGAGCUCGAACAAAUGCACUUGUAUCAAUUUCGUCUACGGUAUAUCCCCUCUUAAAAGUAUCAGGUCUUCUAAAUCAUUUAAGAUAUCCAGAUUUUGUUUUUGGACAGCAGCACACAUUUUUUAAUUGUACCAAACGUAGUUUAACACACAUGCAACCCUGUAAAAUAUGCACGCAAACGCAUUUUGGUUAAAACGCACAAAAAAUAAAAAAAUCAAGCGGUGGGUGUUUUUUAGCUGUA